rnacentral:rRNA from 1 species
CCCUUAGAUGUCCGGGGCCGCACGCGCGCUACACUGAAGGAAUCAGCGUGGCUUUCUCCCUGACCCGAAAGGGUUGGGAAACCCGUUGAAUCUCCUUCGUGAUAGGGAUUGGGGCUUGAAAUUGUUCCCCAUGAACGAGGAAUUCCCAGUAAGCGCGAGUCAUAAGCUCGCGUUGAUUACGUCCCUGCCCUUUGUACACACCGCCCGUCGCUACUACCGAUUGAACGGUUUAGUUAGGGCCUCGGAUUGGUCUCGGCCCGCUCUUUACCGGGCGGCGCCGUUGGUCGAGAAGACGCUCGAACUUGAUCGUUUAGAGGAAGUAAAAGUCGUAACA